rnacentral:rRNA from 1 species
GACGAACGCUGGCGGCGUGCCUAAUACAUGCAAGUAGAACGCUGAAGGAGGAGCUUGCUUCUCUGGAUGAGUUGCGAACGGGUGAGUAACGCGUAGGUAACCUGCCUGGUAGCGGGGGAUAACUAUUGGAAACGAUAGCUAAUACCGCAUAAGAGUAGAUGUUGCAUGACAUUUGCUUAAAAGGUUCAAUUGCAUCACUACCAGAUGGACCUGCGUUGUAUUAGCUAGUUGGGGGGGGAACGGCUCACCAAGGCGACGAUACAUAGACGACCUGCGAGGGGGCUCGCCCUCCCUGGGACGGGGACACGGCCCAGACCCCUACGGGAGGCAGCCGUAGCGGAUCUUUGGCAAUGGAAGGAAGUCUGACCGAGCAACGCCGCGUGAGUGACGAAGGUUUUCGGAUCGUGAAGCUCUGUUGUAAGAGAAGAACGAGUGUGAGAGUGGAAAGUUCACACUGUGACAGUACCUUACCAGAAAGGGACGGCUAACUACGUG